AUUUCCAGGAUGCAAAACCUGUCUAUGCAAAGGGCUGAAUUUUCACAUAUGUGGGUUCCACAGGGCUGACUACCAGAACUGAGUGAGUGCAGAUUUGGGUAUAAUCGUGUAUACCGAGGCACAGCUCUAAUUUAAAAUGAUGUUAGGAUAAAAUCACAACAGUUUACACCAUAGGUUUCCUUUUAUUUACAUGUGUGUUAGGAGGCUUUAUUUACUCCUACAUAUAUAUGAUGGAAAGUUGAUGACAUGUCUGUCAUUAGUGUAAGUAACAAGAUUUUGCCUUUGUUCCAGCGGGGUGUUAACUAUUACAGUUUCAUGUUACCCCAGCAUUUAGAAUAUAAACAGGUUGACAUUGACUGCACCAAGCUCUAAUCUCAACAACAUAUUAUUACCGUGCUGUUUGUAACUACAUGAGCCUGUGGUCUCACAUGCUGUGUUAUGGUCUCAGAUAUACAAUAUUAUUUCUAGAAUACCUGUCAUUAAUAUUUGAUUGAAAAUUUUAUUCUGACAGUUAUUAACUGGCCAGUUGCAUUGUCUUUUCAAGGUGGAAUACAUUCAUAUACAUUGUCUCUCCA
rnacentral:lncRNA from 10 species